AUGCGGCGGUGCCGGGGCGCAGGGCUGGCGGGGCUGGCCGCGCUGCUCCUGGUAGCUGCUGGCAGAGCGCAGGUGCAGCAGGACCCAUCAGCAGAGACCACCGAGGGCACCGGCAUCAGCAUCAACUGCUCACACCCCAACAUACAGUCUUUCGACUUCAUCCACUGGUACCGUCAGCUCCCUGGCAGAGGCCCCGCAUUCCUCGUGAGCAGUCUUAAAGAGUCCAAAGAGCUGCGGGACCCGCCGGGGCGGCUGUCGGUGGCAGCAGACCGCCGGUCCAGCGCCCUGUGGCUCGCCCGGCCCCGGUGCGGGGACGCGGCGGUGUAUUACUGUGCCCUUACCACCGUCAAACAAGGAGUUGAAAGCAGCUCUGAGGAGAACGGCAAGGCAGUGAAAGGCUGCUUCAGCCUAGAAAAGGUUCCUGACAGGCAACAGAUGGAUUAUGUGCAGAAGGUGUCAGAGGUGCCAGGGUCAGAGCCGGGGCUGGGGCCCAGGCCAAGGCUGGACUCAAGAGAGUCCCGGGUGAAGGCUCCAUCCAGUGACAGCUCUCGACCACCUAGGAGGCCAGGAGGACAAUAG